rnacentral:rRNA from 1 species
GCUUAAAACCAAGCCCACAACACCUAAAAUCUAUAGUAUCUUUAACCCACAACAAAUAAAACAUUUUCUAUACUUAGUAAAGGCGAUUAAAAAAUGUGUUCGGAGCCUCAAAAACAGUACCGCAAGGGAAAGAUGAAAUAAAAAUGAAACAAACUCAAGCACCACAUAGCAGAGCCCAACCCUCGUACCUUUUGCAUCAUGGUCUAGCAAGUCUACUCAAGCAAAAAGUAAUUUAAGUUUGACCCCCCGAAACUAAGCGAGCUACUUCAAAACAGCCUUACAGGGCCAACCCGUCUCUGUUGCAAAAGAGUGGGAAGAUUUUUUAGUAGAGGUGAUAGACCUAUCGAGCUUAGAGAUAGCUGGUUGCUCAAGAAAAGGAUGUUAGUCCUCCCUUAAGUCCUUAAACAACUAAUAAUAUGCCAACGGACCUAAGAGCCAUUCAAAUAAGGUACAGCCUAUUUGAAAUAGGGUACAACCUAAACAACAGGGUAAUGAAAUUUUUAGUGACCAAGUGGGCUUAAGAGCAGCCACCUAAAUAAAAGCGUUAAAGCUUAAUCACUGUGUUAUCAAAUCCCAAUAACCAAUCAAAACCCUUAUCUUGUAUUGAGCGAUUCUAUACAACUAUAGAAAACCACAUGCUAGAACUAGUAACAAGAAUAAGACCUUCUCCAAAAUACAAGUGUUAGCCAAAACGAACUAACACCGGCAUUUACCGCCACUGAACACACAGUAGUAACUAGACAAGAAAAUACUACUUUUUUUGGCGUCAAUCUUACACCAGAGUAUUUCAGGAUGAUUAAAAAAAGAGGAAGGAACUCGGCAAACUAUUAACCCCGCCUGUUUACCAAAAACAUCGCCUCUUGACAAACAUAAGAGGUCCAGCCUGCCCAGUGACAAAGUUUAACGGCCGCGGUACCCUAACCGUGCAAAGGUAGCGCAAUCACUUGUUCCCUAAAUAGGGACUAGUAUGAACGGCAUCACGAGGGUUAUUCUGUCUCCCCCUUUUAAUCAGUGAAACUGACCUCCCCGUGAAGAGGCGGGGAUAAAAAUAUAAGACGAGAAGACCCCAUGGAGCUUUAAACUAAGUACUAAUUGCUUUACCAAUGCCUUUAUAACUUAGCAACUGUAGAAACUAGUUUUUGGUUGGGGUGACCGCGGAGCAAAACAUAACCUCCACGAUGAAUGAGCCUAAUACUCUGAUUACUAGAGCCACAACUCAAACAAGCAACAAAUUGACAUAUUUGAUCCAAUUAAUUUUGAUCAACGAACCAAGUUACCCUGGGGAUAACAGCGCAAUCCACUUCAAGAGCUCUUAUCGACAAGUGGGUUUACGACCUCGAUGUUGGAUCAGGG